GCCGAGGUGGCGGAAUAGGUAGACGCACGGGACUUAAAAUCCCGGGGGCUGCGGCCCGUACCGGUUCGACUCCGGUCCUCGGCA
rnacentral:tRNA from 1 species